UACCGAAUGCCCAGGCCUAGGAUGAACCAACCGGCUGCCUGCUGCCCCUUCCCCCGACUUGGACGAACCCUAGGUCCCUGCCCGCCGCCGCCGCCUGCCGUCGUGCCUACCCAACCCUACCGCUUGCAUAGCGAGAAACGAGAAGCCGAGCACCACAGCGGCGGCGCGCUCACCACCGGCUCUCCGUCGCUGCAUCGCCACUCCUCCGCCGUCCGAGCGCGACCAGGUCACUUCCUCUUCUGGUCCCCUUCCUCUGGCACGGCGGCACCCACAGUCCCUCGCGGCUCCCCGACAUUCUCCGUCCCCGCACAGCCAAAAACUGCAGGAACGCAAGAUGAGUAAAAGAAACAAGACAUAAGUUACCGCACACGCAAAGGCCUUUUGCCUCGUCCUACAACGUUUAGCUUCUUGUGCGAUUGAAGAUAUAGUCAUGGGAGGCUUAGAUCAACCAAUCCUUUGAUUUGGUAUCAAUCUUUUGUAUCAUUUAUAUAUGCUACGUAUUGUCUUUUGAUCUGUCUUGCUUCAUAAGUUGACACAUCAUGGAACAAAUGCUGCCAUUGAAUAUUAUGUUUGGUUUCUUAUUAGUUAUGCGACAUAGAUUGGCUUAGUUUCUCGCCUGGGGUGUCAGCAAAUCCUGGGUCCGCCACUGAUUAGCGUGCUAUCUCCCUCGUUUUCCUACAAGUGGGCCGGCUGUCCUAGGGGACGCUACUCCCGUAGCCAAAUUGAAGGGCGCUCGUUGAUUGGGCCAGCCGGCUGAUUCGGCCUCACCAAGAAGAGCCCAUCUCAGCGAACAAAUUAACGACAUCUCCUCGGGCCACACCCACCCACGACCUCAAAAAAAAACCACGACCUCUCCUUUCUCUCGAUCGGGAACCCUGGUCAGGCGACUUCGGGCUGCGGCACGCCAGGAUGGCGGCGGUGGCCCACGCCUCCGGCUCCCCUGCGAAGCGCGACGCGAAGGCCUCCUUCGCCCCCUCUUCCUUCCUCGCCUCCCCACGGGGCGGCGGUGACGGCUGCAAGGUCGGCGUGCUGCGCUCGUCCCCUCCGCUCCACCAGAGGUACCCACUCCCUGUCCCCAUUCGCGCCCCGCUCACGCUCGAGGACCCCCGAUCGCUAUCGGCCCUGGCCUCCUACCGGAUCCUGCUCGCCAUCCUCGCCUGCCUCCUCCUCGGCACGCUCGUGUCCGCCCCUUGCGUCUGGUCGCACCUCGCGAGUCCUUGAUCCUAUCGAUCUACAUUGCAUCUCGUCGGGAUCCCUCAUGCUUACUGAAAUUCAUGGUUCCAUUGGACCGUAAAACGCGCCUGACCUGUGCCGCAAAGAUGAGAUUCGGCUCCAGUGCCCCGGAGUAAUGUGAUGUUGAGCUCAGCGUGCAUAUAGGGGAAUGUUUGUGCGCGAAAUCAGUUUUAACGUUUGUUUGAUUUUAUGGCUUGUGUUGUCACCGUUCAGGUGAGAAACUCGCUAUUGACAAUCCACGUCUUGGAAGCCAUGUGCCGAGCGCCGCAGCGAUGAGAUCUCAGGCAAGUGCUGACACUGAUCCCUCGAGUAGAAACAUGAUGAAAGAUGUUUCAUAAAUGUGACUGGAUCUUCUCAGUGUACCUUUUUUUUCUGUUGUUUCUUCAUGUAUCUUAAAUUCUUGAUACUACUACAAAGCCAAUAUGUUGCCAGGGUAGUUGAUAAAAUUUUCUUAAGACCAUAAGUAAAUUGAACAGUUGAUCUGCUAGAUACUCCUUCCGUUCCUAAAUAUUUGUCUUUCUAUACAUUUCAAAUGGCUACAACAUACGGAUGUAUGUAGACAUAUUUUAGAGUAUAGAUUCACUCAUUUUGCUUCGUAUGUAGUCACUUGUUGAAAUCUCUAGAAAGACAAAUAUUUAGGAACGGAGGGAGUAUAUUAUAUUUGGAAAGAAGAUAUUCCAAACGUAAGUUGGGUGGCUGGAGAAAUAAAACGUGACUGACUGACUUUGGGAUGAGGAUAAAAUUAUUAUAUCAUUUCUAAGAGCACAAGUGGAAAAAUAACCCAGAAACAAUAUACUCUGUCUACAUUUCUUCUUUAACAGCUGCUCCUUUUACAUGAACCUCUAAACCAAAGCCGGAUACAGAAGCAAUCAAAACUGGGGGCUGGUGAUAUCAUUUUUUCUUUAACAGAAGCCAGGAUGCACUGCUGGUGGAGAUAAGUGCAAAUGCGGCAGCAGCAACACCUUCACCGGACAAAAAGAAAGUUGGGAGGACGGGAAAAAUGCAGAGGGGUAGAAACUACUACUGAUGACAUGGAAGGAACCUCUAAAGCUGCUGAUAGCAAGAGGACGGGGCCUUCUGAAUUAGCUGAUGGUGACUCGUAGUUGCAAGAGUUCUCCCAGGUAAGUGAUACCCUCGUGCAUGUGUUUUUUGGUUACCUGGGCUAUUGGUAAGUUUGGACCUUAUUUAAUUCGUGAAAGUGUAGCGACACCAUUUUCCAUGCUGGUUUGUUUUGGUAAGCCUUUUUCAUGUAUACAUGGAAUUGUUGGUCUGCCACUUUCUUACAUAUAUCUUUCAGCCUGGUUGCUCUUUAACAAAACAAGCAAACCAAAAUGAACAAUAUGAUUACAACGUAUCCCCGCUGCUGCUUGUAUGGUAGUAUUUAGUAUAUCAUUAUUUGAUAUUGCAAUUAAUUUAAUCCUUGUUAGGACUGUUGUCCUAUGAAUGUGUGCCCUGCACAAGAAAUAGCCAGGUGCAUUUGGCUGCCAUAAUUCUUCUUUGUUUCCAAACAUGGUGGCUCUUUGGUAGAGGCAUUUGAAGAUUUCAUUUAUGCAUCAUGAAAGCAAUCUAUUUCUUAUUGCCUAUUAUCUGUACCGAUUAGUUGUAUUUACUAUCUAAAUUGUUGUGUAUGCUGUUAUACCAAGUCAAUUUAUAUGUGACCUUGCUUUUACUGACUAUAUAUAUAUAUAAGAUUUCCUUGGACUACCAACUAAUGUGUGGUUAUGUUUAGGCAAGCUUAAUUAUUUCAUAUGGCCAUAUAUUUAUCAAAAUUCCUACUAUAUCAUUGUACAAAUAGACGGGCGCAACAACGCGUGCCAUCAAUGAUCUAGUAGCCGUGGUAAAAGGAACAUGCAGAGGAGCAUUUAGGCUGGCUUUCAUGUCGUGUCUGGCUUCUUAGCAGAGUUGUACUCCCUCCGUUCGGAAUUACUUGUCACAGAAAUGGAUGUAUCUAGACGUAUUUUAGUUCUAGAUAUAUCCAUUUCCGAGACAAGUAAUUCCGAACGGAGGGAGUAUUAGGUUAGCUUCUUUAUAUACGGAUACGCACGAAUCGAAUCCAGCACACCAGUUUUUCCGUCUUUGCCUUGUCUUAACUUCAUGGCGGCGGCAGAUUGACGAUGUAAGGCGUCGACAGUGAAGCCACCCUGGUCGUUGGUACGACGCUCUACUUGAGAGCCACAUUGAUGCACACCUCCGCCCAUUUGAUCGCAAAGACACCAUAGACAACGACUUGUUUUUGGUCACUCAGAGCAAAAACAACCAAAUCAUCAACUGCCAUGAAGGCUUCAAAGUCCGGCAUCAUUGUUGAUUACAUGUCAAGUGGCAUGUUGCUUGAUUGGUUAUCUACACAUGCUAAUUUGGAUAUCCCUAAUAGUUAUCUACAUAUGUUGGGAUGGUUUAAUGAUGAGUGUUACAACUCGAUGAUAUGAAUAUACACUGCAGUAUAGGUGCAAACUAAGUUGCAAUGUAAUCCGUUGAUAUAUUGUUUGUGAUGAUUCCUAACUUUUAAUCUCACAAGAUAUUGAUUGUGCAACACUUGAGAGAUACAAUGAAUGAUAUAUUUAUAUA